rnacentral:rRNA from 1 species
CCCUUAGAUGUUCUGGGCCGCACGCGCGCUACACUGAUGCAUUCAACGAGCCUAGCCUUGACCGAGAGGUCCGGGUAAUCUUUGAAACUGCAUCGUGAUGGGGCUAGAUUAUUGCAAUUAUUAAUCUUCAACGAGGAAUGCCUAGUAAGCGUGAUUCAUCAAAUCGCGUUGAUUACGUCCCUGCCCUUUGUACACACCGCCCGUCGCUCCUACCGAUUGAGUGUGUUGGUGAGGAGUUCGGACUGGCUCUUAGUGGUGGUUCGCCACCACCUAGAGCUGAGAAGUUCUCCAAACCGCCCCACUUAGAGGAAGGAGAAGUCGUAACA